GACUCUCUGCUGAAGCUGAACUUAGCAACCUUGUUGAAGUUUUGAUUAUCAAAAACUCUGAGAUAAACUGCUUAAAGCUGAAAUAGGAAGUUCUGAGAAAACUGUGAGCUUAGCCUGAAAAUUUGAACAAGUACACAUUACAGUCUUUCCCCUGUAAAGUGAGCAGCAUGUGCAUGAGCAUUGAUCGACAGCACUAAAACCCUCCUCUUGGCUCUGAUUGGUUGUUUUUAACCUGAAGUGGUGCAUUUCUGCAGAUAGCUAGAAAAAAGGGAGGAGAUCAAACUUUUCAUAGAUUAUAUGUCUCAAAUUAACCAUGAGGACAUAGUGACAGUUUUGAUAAAAAUGUAAAAGAUACAUUUUAUACAAGUAACAUCCUGCAGUUUAAUAACCACAGAUAACAAGGCGAUAUCCUGAGCAAAAUGUGUCAACACUUAAACAGACCUUACAUGUUUAUGUUGCUUUUCUUCUACAGUCAAACAUCGUCCAAAUGACCUUCAGUGUGCAGAGUUUAAGAUUGGUAAACAUGAAAAGUUGGAAGAGCUACUGGCAAAAGACAAGGACUUUGACUUCAGUUACCAGAAGUGGUACAGUGUGAGCAGCUCUAAGAAGGACACGUCAGGUGACUCUGGUGGAGGAUUUGUGUUCAAGAACAGGCUGUAUGGCGUUUGUGUCUUCACUGGAGAUCCACUGUAUGCACUCAGUGCACCAAGUGCUUUCCUGGAUGUCUGUGCCUACAAGAAGUGGAUAGAUGACACAAUUAACCAAAAACC